GACGAACGCUGGCGGCGUGCUUAACACAUGCAAGUCGAACGAAGUGGCGAACGGGUGAGUAACGCGUAAUCAACCUGCCCUUCAGAGGGGGACCACAGUUGGCACCGACUGCUCAUACCGCCUACUAAAGGAGGGGAUUGCGUCUGAUUAGCUAGUUGGAGGGGUAACGGCCCACCAAGGCGAUGAUCAGUAGCCGGUCUGAGAGGAUGAACGGCCACAUUGGGACUGAGACACGGCCCAGACUCCGACGGGAGGCAGCAGUGGGGAAUCUUCCGCAAUGGACGAAAGUCUGACGGAGCAACGCCGCGUGAGUGAUGACGGCCUUCGGGUUGUAAAGCUCUGUUAAUCGGGACGCGGUACCGGAAUAGAAAGCCACGGCUAACUACGUGCCAGCAGCCGCGGUAAUUC
rnacentral:rRNA from 1 species